CCUACGGGAUGCAGCAGUGAGGAAUAUUGGUCAAUGGGCGCGAGCCUGAACCAGCCAAGUAGCGUGAAGGAUGACUGCCCUACGGGUUGUAAACUUCUUUUAUAAAGGAAUAAAGUGAGGCACGUGUGCCUUUUUGUAUGUACUUUAUGAAUAAGGAUCGGCUAACUCCGUGCCAGCAGCCGCGGUAAUACGGAUGAUCCGAGCGUUAUCCGGAUUGAUUGGGUUUAAAGGGAGCGUAGAUGGGUUGUUAAGUAAGUUGUGAAAGUUUGCGGCGAAACCGUAAAAUUGCAAUUGAUACUGGCAGUCUUGAGUACAGUUGAGGUAGGCGAAAUUCGUGGUGUAGUGGGGAAAUGCUUAGAUAUCACGAAGAACUCCUAUUGCGAAGGCAGUUUACUAAACUGCCACUGACAUUGAUGCUCGAAAGUGUGGGAAUCAAACAGGAUUAGAUACCCGAGUAGUC
rnacentral:rRNA from 1 species